rnacentral:rRNA from 1 species
UGGGGAAUAUUGGACAAUGGGGGGAACCCUGAUCCAGCCAUGCCGCGUGUGUGAAGAAGGCCUUAUGGUUGUAAAGCACUUUAAGCGAGGAGGAGGGUACUGGUAUUAAUACUACCAGCUACUGGACGUUACUCGCAGAAUAAGCACCGGCUAACUCUGUGCCAGCAGCCGCGGUAAUACAGAGGGUGCAAGCGUUAAUCGGAAUUACUGGGCGUAAAGCGCGCGUAGGUGGUUCGUUAAGUUGAAUGUGAAAGCCCCGGGCUCAACCUGGGAACUGCAUCCAAAACUGGCGAGCUAGAGUAGGGCAGAGGGUGGUGGAAUUUCCUGUGUAGCGGUGAAAUGCGUAGAGAUCUGGAGGAAUACCGAUGGCGAAGGCAGCCAUCUGGCCUAACACUGACGCUGAGGUGCGAAAGCAUGGGGAGCAAACAGG